rnacentral:lncRNA from 1 species
AUGGAUUUAAAGUUGUGGAGCAAAGCAGGAGAGACAGCUAACGGCAAGGGUGUGGAUCUGGGUUAUACGCUCCUGCACAGCGCUGCAGCUUGGCAAGUCGGAGAUGUUGAAACUUUGGUAGACCUGGAAGCUGAUCUCCUUUCUGCAAACCUCCCAGGUGAAAAGGCCAGGGACAUUGCCAGCUGCUGUGGACAGAUGGACUGUGAAGUACUCCUGAGCUGGGCAGCGGGGGCAGCACGUCCUGCUUGGCAAGGAAGCAGGCAGCCAGGGCAGAAAACACCAGGCCAGAUUAUUUUGUGUCUAUUUAGUGGGGCAGAAUCCCACGUGCAUUUCUGCUGCACCUCAAGCUGCUGUGCUGAUCUCACCCAGCACCAUCAUCGCUCUCUGCUCCGUGGCUUUUGGCUGGCUUCUUGCUGCACCCAGGUUGCAGUGGGGCAGGAUGCCCCCUCAGACGUGUCUCCUAGCCCGCUCUCCCCCCAUCUCACAGGACAACCCUGGCGGGAGGAGACACAGGCCCUGGAGCUGGAGCCCUGUGGCAGAGGGAGCACUGGGCAGAAAGGAAGGCAGAUAGACUUGCAUGAUUUAUUUUGGAAAGGAAGGAGUCGCAGAUGCUGCCAAAUAAUUGUGAUGAGCGAACUCUCUAAAGCUGGAUCAUCAGAGGAGCAGUGCGAAAAUACUGAUUCCAUCGUAAAACCAUCCUGACUGUGAGACAAAAUUAUCAGAGCAGGGUGCACCCACGGUGCAACUACCUUGGCGCUUCAGCUGCUGUCUGGGAAUCCUCAGGAGGGGGUUUUCACACCGUGAACCUCGUGACUGCAGCAGUCAUUGCAACAAGAUGGACAGUUCUGAGAAGAACAGCGGCAGGCCGUCUUGGGAGACACCGAUCAGUGCCGCUAUUUUACAGGGUGGGGAAAGUGAGGCACAGAGCCGCUGAAGGAUUCACGGACAGUCGUGCAGCAAGCUGGUGCUGGAACCAGGAGGAGAGCUGAGGAUUCGUGUGCUUCAGGUGGUGCAUGCUGAGCCUGCAGGGCCUGGGGAGCCGUAGAGGCUAAUGAGUAAUCACCUAUUAGGAUGGCCAGGACUGAUCAGACCUACCCUAAAGCGCUCUGGAAAUAGUUUGUCAUUCUAGAAAUCUCAGCCUCUGCUCAAAACAGGGAUUUGCACGGGCACAGAUCUUUGCAAAUUAAAGACCAAGCUGCCACUCUUUGAGACAAGGCUUUUAAUCGUUUUCCUUUCACGCUUGACCCAAAUUUACUGUCAUCUCAUACAAGCCUGCUGUUUUCUCCCUUGCAGUAUUGCUGGGUAUGGAGCUGCAAGUGGUCAUGGGCCCCAUCGGCAAGGAGUAUUAAAAAAAUGCGUGUAAAUAUUCAUUGCAGAGAUGGGUGCAAUGUUUGAACGGGCAGGAAAAUUGCUCUCUUUUUAUAUGAACAU